rnacentral:rRNA from 1 species
UAUGUGAUCGUCUCUCGCAUAUCAAUAAGCGGAGGAAAAGAAACUAACAAGGAUUCCCCUAGUAACGGCGAGUGAAGCGGGAAGAGCUCAAAUUUGAAAUCUUAAAGGGUUUCCCUUUACGAAUUGUAGUUUAAAGAAGUGUUUUCUGUUGAGGUUUUGGUAAAAGUUCUUUGGAAUAGGACAUCAUAGAGGGUGAGAAUCCCGUAUUUGACCUUUACUUUCAACUUUGUGAUACACUUUCAAAGAGUCGGAUUGUUUGGGAAUGCAGUCCAAAAUGGGUGGUAAAUUUCAUCUAAAGCUAAAUAUUGGCGAGAGACCGAUAGCGAACAAGUACCGUGAGGGAAAGAUGAAAAGAACUUUGAAAAGAGAGUUAAACAGUACGUGAAAUUGUCCAAAAGGGAAGCGUUUGACACCAGUGUUGUUUUUCUGAAAAUCAAUUAAAGAACUGUUUAUGCUAAGUUGUUUAGACUUUAUCAGCUAACUGUUUAGUUUUGAGCUUUUCUUUAAUGCACUUUUCAGUUAACAAGUCAACAUCAAUUUCUUUUGCUGUAAAAAAGCUUGAGGAAGGUGGCUUGAGAUUCGUCUUAAGUGUUUAUAGCCUCUUGCCUAUGCAGUCGGAGAGAUUGAGGUCUGCAGCGUAGAUCCUUCGGGGCUAAAUGCAUUUGUGCUAAGUUAUAGCAUUUUAUAGACAACUUGUUGACUAUGAUUUGUCUUGUAGCUUACUCGCUUAUGUUAUUUUACCUACGCUUAGGAUGUUGAAGUCAUCGUAUCGCGC